UCAAGUCUUUAAGAGCAAACGGUGGAUGCCUUGGCAUCUGGAGCCGAAGAAGGACGUAGCAAUCUGCGAUAAGCCUCGGGGAACUGAUAAGCAAGUUUUGAUCCGAGGGUGUCCGAAUGGGGAAACCCCGCUGGGCGGCGUGCCGACCUAGUGACUCCCGCCUGAAUAUAUAGGGCGGGUAGAGGGAACGUGGGGAAGUGAAACAUCUCAGUACCCACAGGAAGAGAAAGCAACCGCGAUUCCGUUAGUAGUGGCGAGCGAAACCGGAUCAGGCUAAACCGAGUGUGUGUGAUAUCCGGCAGGAGUUGCAUAUUCGGGGUUGUGGGACUCACCAGUCAGUUCUGCCGAGCUGGCGACGUUACAGAAGCGUAUAGACGAACGGUCUUGAAAGGCCGGUCAUAGAGGGUGCCAACCCCGUAGUCGAAAUGCGUGUUCUGGCGUGGAGAGUAUCCCAAGUAGCACGGGGCCCGUGAAAUCCCGUGUGAAUCUGUCAGGACCACCUGAUAAGCCUAAAUACUCCCAGAUGACCGAUAGCGGACAAGUACCGUGAGGGAAAGGUGAAAAGUACCCCGGGAGGGGAGUGAAAUAGUACCUGAAACCGUUUGCUUACAAACCGUUGGAGCACCCCUGGUAGGUGUGACAGCGUGCCUUUUGAAGAAUGAGCCUGCGAGUUAGCGAUAUGUGGCGAGGUUAACCCGUGUGGGGUAGCCGUAGCGAAAGCGAGUCUGAAUAGGGCGAUUCAGUCGCAUGUCCUAGACCCGAAGCGAAGUGAUCUAUCCAUGGCCAGGUUGAAGCGACGGUAAGACGUCGUGGAGGACCGAACCCACUUAGGUUGAAAACUGAGGGGAUGAGCUGUGGAUAGGGGUGAAAGGCCAAUCAAACUUCGUGAUAGCUGGUUCUCUCCGAAAUGCAUUUAGGUGCAGCGUUGCGUGUUUCUUGCCGGAGGUAGAGCUACUGGAUGGCCGAUGGGCCCUACAAGGUUACUGACGUCAGCCAAACUCCGAAUGCCGGUAAGUGAGAGCGCAGCAGUGAGACUGUGGGGGAUAAGCUUCAUAGUCGAGAGGGAAACAACCCAGACCACCAACUAAGGUCCCAAAGCGCGUGCUAAGUGGGAAAGGAUGUGGAGUUGCUCUGACAACCAGGAGGUUGGCUUAGAAGCAGCCACCCUUGAAAGAGUGCGUAAUAGCUCACUGGUCAAGUGAUUCCGCGCCGACAAUGUAACGGGGCUCAAGCACGCCACCGAAGUUGUGGCAUUGACAUUAUUGGUAGGCCUUCGUGGUCCAGCCGUGUUGAUGGGUAGGAGAGCGUCGUGUGGCCAGCGAAGCGGCGGUGGAAACCAGCCGUGGAGGCUACACGAGUGAGAAUGCAGGCAUGAGUAGCGAAUGACGUGUGAGAAACACGUCCUCCGAAAGACCAAGGGUUCCAGGGUCAAGCUAAUCUUCCCUGGGUAAGUCGGGACCUAAGGCGAGGCCGACAGGCGUAGUCGAUGGACAACGGGUUGAUAUUCCCGUACCGGCGAAGAACCGCCCAAGCUAAUCCAGUGGUGCUAAACGUCCGAGCCUUCACAUCGUCACCUUCGGGUGACACCGUGGAGGGGAGCACGUGACCCCAUGCUGGUGCGGUUAGCGUAUUAACAGGUGUGACGCAGGAAGGUAGUCCAAGCCAGGCGAUGGUUGUCCUGGUGCAAGUGCGUAGGCCGAGUCGUAGGCAAAUCCGCGACUCAUACAGGCUGAGACACGAUGCGGAUAAAAAGUGGAUGAUCCUAUGCUGCCGAGAAAAGCAUCGACGCGAGGUUCUAGCCGCCCGUACCCCAAACCGACUCAGGUGGUCAGGUAGAGAAUACCAAGGAGAUCGAGAGAAUCGUGGUUAAGGAACUCGGCAAAAUGCCCCCGUAACUUCGGGAGAAGGGGGGCCUUCGACGUAUUAGGACUUGCUCCGAAAGCGUUUGGAGGCCGCAGAGACUAGUGGGUAGCGACUGUUUACUAAAAACACAGGUCCGUGCCAAGUCGCAAGACGAUGUAUACGGACUGACGCCUGCCCGGUGCUGGAAGGUUAAGAGGACCGGUUAGCCGCAAGGCGAAGCUGAGAAUUUAAGCCCCAGUAAACGGCGGUGGUAACUAUAACCAUCCUAAGGUAGCGAAAUUCCUUGUCGGGUAAGUUCCGACCUGCACGAAUGGCGUA
rnacentral:rRNA from 1 species